CAUACCUAUUCGAAGGGAUAGGGUCGGUUUGGCCGGAUUUCACACAGGUGUUGCGUGGCUGUCGUCAGCUCGUGUCGUGAGAUGUUGGGUUAAGUCCCGCAACGAGCGCAACCCUCAUCCUUAGUUACCAUCAGGUUAUGCUGGGGACUUUAAGGAAACUGCCAGUGAUAAACUGGAGGAAGGUGGGGAUGAUGUCAAGUCAUCAUGGCCCUUAUGGAGUGGGCUACAUACGUGCUACAAUGGUGAUUACAAUGGGCUGCAAGGUCGCAAGGCUGAGCUAAUCCUAAAAAAUCAUCUCAGUUCGGAUUGUUCUCUGCAACUCGAGAGCAUGAAGUUGGAAUCGCUAGUAAUCGUGGAUCAGCAUGCCACGGUGAAUACGUUCUCGGGUCUUGUACACACUGCCCGUCACGCCAUGGGAAUUGGUUUCACUCGAAGCU
rnacentral:rRNA from 1 species